rnacentral:siRNA from 1 species
UGGAGACGUCGCUGCCGUGAU